UAUUGCGCAAUGGGCGAAAGCCUGACGCAGCGACGCCGCGUGGGGGAUGAAGGUCUUCGGAUUGUAAACCCCUUUCGGGAGGGAAGAUGGAAUGGGGUAACCCAUUCGGACGGUACCUCCAGAAGCAGCCACGGCUAACUUCGUGCCAGCAGCCGCGGUAAUACGAAGGUGGCAAGCGUUAUUCGGAUUUACUGGGCGUACAGGGAGCGUAGGCGGUUUGGUAAGCCCUCUGUGAAAUCUCCAGGCUUAACCUGGAAAAGUCGGAGGGGACUGCUGGGCUAGAGGACGGGAGAGGAGCGCGGAAUUCCCGGUGUAGCGGUGAAAUGCGUAGAGAUCGGGAGGAAGGCCGGUGGCGAAGGCGGCGCUCUGGAACGUUCUGACGCUGAGCUCGA
rnacentral:rRNA from 1 species